rnacentral:lncRNA from 1 species
AGCGCCGGACCGAGGGUAUUCGCGGGGACAUCCAGGGUCCCCAGGGAGUCGGGCCGGCCUGGAAGCAGGGACGAGUCUGGGGACACCCCGAGAAGAAGGGCUGCGCCGCCGCACAGAGGUGACCCUGUCGUGGGCGGUGGUUGCGCGCGGGCCGCGACACUCAGGUAGGCGCAGGGAACAGGAAGGUCGGGCGCCGCGGCCCCGGGAGGAGGCGGAGGGAGCGGAGGCAACCGCGAGGCAGCCGCCGCCCCUGCCCCUCACCUCCCGCCUGGCCCCUCUCCCAAGAGGGCGCCACCUGCACGCUCUGAUGGGCACCAGCGCCCGCCACUGAGGGAGCCUGUUGUCAUGGCAGCGCAGAAGGCUGGGCCCACGUUCCCAUGGCCACCCGGGGCCUCUGAGCCAAACCUGCAGCUGAGAGGCAGUAAUCCUGGCCCUGGAGGGAGAUCAUUUGGAAUUUGGGAAAGGCCUUGGCCCCUCCUCAGAAUGGUCUGGGUUUGACCUCUGAGUUAGGCUCUUUGUCAUAGCUUCUACUCUCUGAGCGACAAAGUGGGCAUAGGGGUUAGGAGGGAAAGGAAGUUGGGGUCCUGGAAAUGAGGCUGCUCUAGUGGCCUCCCUGGAGCCAUUCUGGUCUGACAAAAAGACUCAGGGGCCCUGGGUCACCUGGGUAAGGUCGUCAACCUCUGCUCACAUUUCCUCACCUGUAAUGUGAGUAUGCCAUUUGGUUUAUGAAUCACAGGUUUCUUGUAAGGGUCGAAUGCUAUAAGGACAGGGAAGCACACAAUCAAAAAAAAAUUUUUUUUCCCUGUAGAUGGUUUAGCACUGGAAGAGAUAUAGAAAUCCAGCCGGACCCACCCCCUUAUUACCAUAGGAGAAAAUGGAUACAGAGAAGUUAAAUUACUUCCCAAGAUGACAGUGAGUUGGGAAGGUCAGGAUUUGAACCUAGUCUCCUGACUUCCAGGCUGUGACUGUUUCCUCCGGUGGUUAUUAUUACUGAAGCUCAGGGAAAUCUGUGGUAUGUCUCCUUGCAACCCGGGGCUCAAACUUUUGGUGACAGGUGAUCUAAAGAUAUGGACAUUGGCAGCAGGUGAACCAAAGAUGGGAAAUGGAGGCUGGCACCUUGAGGAGAGCUGAAAGAGCCCCUCUCCCUGGUGCAUAGGUCCUAUGCCUUGGGGCUCUUGCUUUUAGCUGACAGGAUUGCCCUAAAUUAAUCCCCAGGAGCCAAGCAUUCAACAGCUUUCCUAAAUACCAUCUCUUCUGAAGCCAACAAAUCUGUUGAGACUGUGUGAGCAAGAAAUCCUUUGGCUGCCCUAAAGCAGGGAAGUGGGACUUCCCACAUCAGUGAGGUGCCUUUCCUUUGAAAAGGUUAAGAGCAAUGUGGACAAAGAGAUCCAGAAAGGAACGCUUGAAUGAAUCAUUUGGAAAUGAUUUGAGACAGUCAAAUAGAACAGAAAACCCAUUUAUUCAUUUAGUAAACAUUUACUGGGUGUCUGCUAUUCCCAAACGUUUACUGGGGCUGGAGAUUAAAAACCUGAGUUAGA